GAAAGUAUUGGUUGUAGAAUUUACCUUUAAAUUCCUCCCAUGUCAGUUGUUCACCAUUUCCUUGAACAGCAGCCUUCAUAGCUAUCCACCAGAACUUAGCGUUUCCUUUGAGCAUAGGAACCGCCAAUUUGACCUUGACCUCCUCGGAAAUUGUAGGGCAUCAUACAUCUCCUCUAUCUCCCGAAUCCAAGCCUCCGCAGCCAAGUAAUCAGCACCUCCCUCAAACAUUGGAGGGUGCAGCCUCCGAAAUUUCUCAUAAUAGGUAUCGGUAGACGACACAGGUCGGAAGGAGAGCUGCGUCUGCUGCUGCUGCUGAAGAAGCUGUGCCACUACUUGGCAUACCCCAGCAAGAUCUGCCUGAGUAGCUACAACAUUUGGGGCUGGCCUAGCUGGCAUGUUGGUAGCUUCUUGCGUGACAGGGGGCAUGUUGUUCGCGAGCAUGCGACACAGGGGGCUCUCUUGAAUAUCCUAAGCCCGAAGGGGGGGGGGGAUCAAAUCAUGAGCAGGGAUUUAAGCAAACCAGCAUGUUUGGAAUUAAUAGCCUGAACCGUGCUGAUCCCCUACUGGUCCAACUCGGUGAACCAUGUUGCCAAUUGAGUGCUGCAAAGCAUUACUAAAAUUACUUCAGUUAGUGUCAUAUUUUUUAUGAUCACCUUACUAUUUUUCAUUCUUUUGGUAUUCGUGUCUUGUUCAAUGGUUAAAGCAUCUAUUCUACAUCGACAAGCUUUUUGGGUAUAGCCUUCCUUGGAUUCUCACCUCUUAUUCUUGACAUUGUUUCCCUUUAUUGCUUUGUUUGGAUUUUGUCCUCUUUUCUUCUUGUUGGGCCCACUGACAUCCCUAGAUGCUGUUCAAGACUGUGGGAGGGUUGUUUCUAAUAUUCUAUUAUGUUUGGAUAUUGUUCCUUUUAGUUCAGUUUGUGAAAAUCAUUCUUAUAUUCCUUCUGACAUUCUUCAACU
rnacentral:lncRNA from 1 species